rnacentral:ncRNA from 1 species
GGACCCGGUGCGCCAUGAAGUCAACUACCUAAAGAAACAAGAGAAAUAACCCCACCCCACCCCACCCGAUCCCGGUGGUCAGCUGCGGGAGCAACCCCGGUGGUCAGCCACGGAAGGACCGGUCACCCACAUGGGUGAGAUUGGCCAACUGAGCUGGAUUUCGGAUGGGUUGGCAGGCAUAUGCUCACGCUGACCGACACACCAGACAUGAGACGGCCCCCGCCGGGACGGCAAUCCCGAACGAGGGCCUGACCACAAAGGAAGCAACACCUUCCCC